rnacentral:rRNA from 1 species
AAACUUAGGGAAAAGGACUGCCACUGGUUGUGAGGACGACUAGCUUGUCUGAGCGAUUGGUGGUCGCAGCGAAAUGGCUCUGCCGACUGUUUAACAAAAACACAGGUCUCUGCGAAAGCGAAAGCUGACGUAUAGGGGCUGACGCCUGCCCAGUGCCGGAAGGUUAAGGGGAGAUGUGAUGAGCAUUGAACCGAAGCCCCGGUGAACGGCGGCCGUAACUAUAACGGUCCUAAGGUAGCGAAAUUCCUUGUCGGGUUAGUUCCGACCCCACGAAAGGCGUAACGAGCAGAGCACUGUCUCAACAAGGGACCCGGCGAAGUUGAAAUAGCGGUGAAGAUGCCGUUUACCCGCAGCAGGACAAAAAGACCCCGUGGAGCUUUACUGUAGCUUGACAUUGAGUUAGGGCUUUGUCUGUGUAGGAUAGGUGGGAGGCUGUGAAGCUGGUCCGCUAGGAUCGGUGGAGUCGACGUUGAAAUACCACCCUGAUGGAGUCUUGGCUCUAACCUGUGGCCCUAAUCGGGCAUGGGGACAGUGUCUGGUAGGCAGUUUGACUGGGGCGGUCGCCUCCUAAAGAGUAACGGAGGCGCCCAAAGGUUCCCUCAGGCUGAAUGGAGACCAGCCGUAGAGUGUAAAGGCAUAAGGGAGCUUGACUGCGAGACAAACAAGUCGAGCAGAGACGAAAGUCGGGCUUAGUGAUCCUACGGUUCCGAGUGGAAGGGCCGUGGCUUAACGGACAAAAGCUACCCCGGGGAUAACAGGCUGAUCCCCUCCAAGAGUUCACAUCGACGAGGAGGUUUGGCACCUCGAUGUCGGCUCGUCGCAUCCUGGGGCUGAAGUAGGUCCCAAGGGUCCGGCUGUUCGCCGGUUAAAGCGGUACGCGAGUUGGGUUCAGACCGUCGUGAGACAGGUCGGUCUCUAUCCGCUGUGGGCGAAGGGGAUUUGAGAGGGGCUGCCCCUAGUACGAGAGGACCGGGGUGGACAGACCGCUGGUGUACCAGUUGUCUCGCCAGAGGCAUUGCUGGGUAGCUAAGUCUGGCAGCGAUAACCGCUGAAAGCAUCUAAGUGGGAAACGCGCCUCAAGAUGAGAUCCCCCACUGUAAAAGGGUAAGUGCACCGGGAGACUACCGGUUAGAUAGGCGGCAGGUGUACGCACUGUGAGGUGUUGAGCCGAGCCGUACUAAUGCACGAGGACUUAAUCCA